rnacentral:tRNA from 1 species
UCCCUGGAGGACUAGUGGUUAUGCCACAGCGCUCUCACUGCUGUGGCAUGAGUUUGAUUCCUGGCCAGGGAA